rnacentral:tRNA from 1 species
CAUAGAUCCAUAAACAACAGGUUUGGCC